rnacentral:rRNA from 1 species
AGAGUUUGAUCCUGGCUCAGAACGAACGCUGGCGGCGCGUAUUAAGCAUGCAAGUCGAACGGGAACCGCCCCGCAAGGGGUGGGGAGAGUGGCGAACGGGUGAGUAACACGUAGGUGAUCUAUCCCCGGGUGGGGUAUAGCCCAUGGAAACAUGGGGUAAUACCGCAUGAGGUCCUGGAGCUGCGGCUUCUGGAUGAAAGGCGCAAUUGUGUUGCCUGGGGAUGAGCCUGCGGCUCAUUAGCUAGUUGGCGGGGUAAGAGCCCACCAAGGCGACGAUGGGUAGCCGGCCUGAGAGGGUGUACGGCCACACUGGGACUGAGACACGGCCCAGACUCCUACGGGAGGCAGCAGCUAAGAAUCUUCCGCAAUGGGGGCAACCCUGACGGAGCGACGCCGCGUGGACGAAGAAGGCCGCAAGGUUGUAAAGUCCUUUUGCAGACGAAGAAUAAGGCUCGGAGUGGAAUGCCGGGCUGAUGACGUUAGUCUGCGAAUAAGCCCCGGCCAAUUACGUGCCAGCAGCCGCGGUAACACGUAUGGGGCAAGCGUUGUUCGGAAUCACUGGGCGUAAAGGGCGUGUAGGCGGUUCGAAAAGCCUGGCGUGAAAGGUGUCGGCCCAACCGACAGACGGCGCUGGGAACUGCCGGACUGGAGUCACGGAGGGGGAGCUGGAAUUCCAGGUGUAGGGGUGAAAUCUGUAGAGAUCUGGAAGAACACCGGUGGCGAAGGCGAGCUUCUGGCCGAUGACUGACGCUGAGGCGCGAAAGCGUGGGGAGCAAACAGGAUUUAGAUACCCCUGGUAG